UAUUUUCAUGUUACAGAAAGCACCUUCUUAGAUGACAGACGCAUUAUUUAUCCUUCAUAAGUUUUAUUGAAAGUUUCUGUAAAGGGCCUUUACUGCAGGAUAGAGACAGUCAACAUAGUGCUUUAGGAAUCAUCUGGAGACCAGUGAAACAACUAAAAAUAUACUGAAACUUUAGGUGAAAAGAAAAUCUUUAAAAUAAAGUCAAACCAUUUUUUCAGUGAUGUAUUUUUUCAUUUUGUUAAUUGUC
rnacentral:lncRNA from 1 species